rnacentral:rRNA from 1 species
UACGUAGGGACCAAGCGUUGUUCGGAUUUACUGGGCGUAAAGGGCGCGUAGGCGGCGUGACAAGUCACUUGUGAAAUCUCCGGGCUUAACUCGGAACGGCCAAGUGAUACUGUCGUGCUAGAGUGCAGAAGGGGCAAUCGGAAUUCUUGGUGUAGCGGUGAAAUGCGUAGAUAUCAAGAGGAACACCUGAGGUGAAGACGGGUUGCUGGGCUGACACUGACGCUGAAGCGCGAGAGCUAGGGGAGCAAACGGG